rnacentral:lncRNA from 1 species
GAGAAAGUGAAGGAAGACUAUGAGUAUCACGGGUGACCAGGAUUUUGUCUCAGGGUCAGCUAAUAUUGAGCAGAGCCAUGUAGCUAGGAUAUGGAGGCACCACUUCCUGAGACUAUUCAGAGAGAAGCACUGGGAAGAGAGAGUAGACAUGCCCAGAAAAUAUCUGGAUAUGUAGGACUCAGGAAAGUGGUUUGGGCUGGAAAGAGAAAUUUGGGAGACAAAGAUGGUAAAUAACAUCACCCUGAGAAAGCCUCUGGAGGACAUAUUAAAAUAGAUUGCUUCAUCUUCAACAAUCGUCUUGAAGAUAAAUCCUGUUCAAGCAGACCCUGGAUUCAAGUUUGUGGUGUUUAAUUCUUUUACAGAUUGAUGAAUUUGAUCUGCUGAUAUUUUGUUGAGGAUUCUUGUGUGUGUGUUAAUCAGGGCUAUUGGAUCCAGGUUGAAGGACAUGCCAUUCUGGUGAGAGGAGGGACAAAAGCAAUCACAAC